GAUGAACGCUGGCGGCGUGCCUAAUACAUGCAAGUAGAACGCUGAAGGAAGGAGCUUGCUCUUUCCGGAUGAGUUGCGAACGGGUGAGUAACGCGUAGGUAACCUGCCUGGUAGCGGGGGAUAACUAUUGGAAACGAUAGCUAAUACCGCAUAACAGUAGAUGUUGCAUGAUAUCUACUUAAAAGGUGCAAUUGCACCACUACCAGAUGGACCUGCGUUGUAUUAGCUAGUUGGUGAGGUAACGGCUCACCAAGGCGACGAUACAUAGCCGACCUGAGAGGGUGAUCGGCCACACUGGGACUGAGACACGGCCCAGACUCCUACGGGAGGCAGCAGUAGGGAAUCUUCGGCAAUGGACGGAAGUCUGACCGAGCAACGCCGCGUGAGUGAAGAAGGGUUUCGGAUCGUAAAGCUCUGUUGUAAGAGAAGGACGAGUGUGAGAGUGGAAAGUUCACACUGUGACGGUAUCUUACCAGAAAGGGACGGCUAACUACGUG
rnacentral:rRNA from 1 species